GGGCUGGGAGCCCUGGGACAGCAGGUCGCGGACAGUGGGGAGCUGUGAACUUGAGGGGAAGAAGACACAGCCAGGGAAAGACUCUCUGCCGUUCUGGAGAGGAUGCUUCUAAGGGCAGCUGCAUGACUCUCCAUCCUCCUCUUCUGCCAUUUCACGAAGAGAUCACAAACCCAGAUGGAGCAGCAAAAUAUGGAAGAGCCUCUCUCAGCCUGGAUCCCUGAGGUCUCUCGUGGAGGAUGAUUGCCUUGCAGAGUCUCUUGGGACCUUAAUGGAUGUUGCAUGAAUGAGAAUAAACUUUGCUAUGCCCUGCUCUGAUACUUUAGACUUUAUUAUCACAGCACAACCCACCUUAUCUUGAUUGGUACUUUUUGUUUUUUUUUUUUUCUUUAAUUUUCAGUCAAAAAUAUUUUUUAAAAUCUGGCUUAGAGAAUAGUUCUAAG
ensembl:lncRNA